rnacentral:sRNA from 1 species
UCCUGCCUCCCGCAGGGCCCACCUGUGUCCCCCAGUGCCGCUCCACCCAGCAGGCCUGAGCCCCUCUCUGCUCCCAGACACCCCCUGCUGCCCACUCUCCUGCUACUCGGGUUGUCACACCGAGGCGGAUUCUCUUUCUCUUUCUCUUUCUCUUCUGGCCGACAGCCGCAGCAAUGGCGCUGAGUUCCUCUGCUGGAGUUCGUCCUGCUAACUGGGUUCCUGAGCUGCCGGUCUGACCCUGAGGCAUGGAGCCUCCUGGAGACUGGGGGCCUCCUCCCUGGAGAUCCGCCCCCAAAACCGACGUCUUGAGGCUGGUGCUGUAUCUCACCUUCCUGGGAGCCCCCUGCUACGCCCCAGCUCUGCCCUCCUGCAAAGAGGACGAGUACCCAGUGGGCUCUGAGUGCUGCCCCAAAUGCAGUCCAGGUUACCGUGUGAAGCAGGCCUGUGGGGAGCUGACGGGCACAGUGUGUGAACCCUGCCCUCCGGGGACCUACAUUGCCCACCUCAAUGGCCUGAGCAAGUGUCUGCAGUGCCAAAUGUGUGACCCAGGUAAGAGGCCGGCACAGCCAGCUCAGCCUCCGCCCGGGCAGCCUGGAUGCCCCCACACCCUGCACCCUCUUUCCAUGGCCAUAGUGCCCCAGGAAGGCCCCGGCUGCCCCAGGCCAGGUCCCCACCCCAUCUCCAUGGGUGCACCCUGCAGGGGACGUCAGCCUCCGGCCCCCGUCCACCUCUGUCUCACCUCUCACUUUGUCACGUGGGCCUUCCUGAGCUUGGCGACUGACCAUUAGCCCUCGUCCUUGGCUCCUCUGGUGCCCUGGGUGGGUGCCCAGACCUCUCCUGUGCCCACAUCCCUAGCUGCAAAGUGGAGUAGGAUGGUGCUGGGACUCUCCGGCCGGCACUGGGGCCUGCUGCUUCCCCACAGGGCUUCU